UUUACAAAUGAACUGCUUUUAAAAAGUCAAAAUAUAUGAAAAGGAAAAUGAAAAAAACACCCCCCUAGGUGAAAUCAUUAUUAUCCAAUUCUUAUGCAUCCUUUCACUCAUUUUUCAAUAAAAAUGAGUAUUUUCUCCACUUUCACCUCUCAGGAGUGGCCAUUCCUUCUGGUUUCCCGUAUUCUGAUCCAGGCUGAGGGUGGCUGCUCUGUUUUCCCCUGCGGGCUGAGUGGAGGAGAGGGGUGCAGCGAUGCCCUGUGGGAGUGAUUGGCAAUGUUCCAGAAGUCAGCCCUGAUCCCUAAGAGACUGUGACGAGCAGAACCUCCUGCGGACCAUGAGGGAUGUGUAGCUGAAUGAGAAAUCGUGGUGUUUUAAAGCUUCUGAG